rnacentral:lncRNA from 1 species
GGAUAUCUCUAAUCUUAUUAAGGAACUGAUGCUUUGCCGCUGUCUUGUAAGGAUCUCUCUAAUCUUAUGAAUGAACUGAUGCUUUGCCGCUGUCUUGUAAUAUAUUAUGUUUUCUAGUAAUGCUGAUUUGUUCGACUGCGUACCCUGUUGCUGGAAUUAAAUUACUGCAUGGAACUUUGAUGAUGAUGGAAGAUCUGCCUCAAUAAAAUCUCCUUUUUUUUCUUAUUGCAUCUUUUAUUUGUGUGAAUGGUAUUUGAUGACAUUAGUCCCAUAAGAGUCCCUUGUAAGUAGUUCCAGGCCAAGUACAUUUUUCUUGAGAGGGAUGUUUAGGACAGA